rnacentral:rRNA from 1 species
GGAGGGAUCAUUACCGAGUUUACAACUCCCAAACCCCAUGUGAACCUUACCUCUCCGUUGCCUCGGCGGGAUACGCCCCGGGCGCUCGGCCCCGCGCCGGCCCCGGACCCAGGCGCCCGCCGGAGGACCCAAACUCUUCUGUUUCUACCAGUGGAUUCUUCUGAGUGGCUAUAAGCAACAAAUAAAUCAAAACUUUCAACAAUGGAUCUCUUGGUUCUGGCAUCGAUGAAGAACGCAGCGAAAUGCGAUAAGUAAUGUGAAUUGCAGAAUUCAGUGAAUCAUCGAAUCUUUGAACGCACAUUGCGCCCGCCAGUAUUCUGGCGGGCAUGCCUGUUCGAGCGUCAUUUCAACCCUCAAGCCCCCCCGGGGGCUCGGUGUUGGGGACCGGCCCCGCCUAGCCGCGGGUCGCCGCCCCCGAAAUACAGUGGCGGUCCCGCCGCAGCCUCCUCUGCGUAGUAGCUCUUUUGAAACCUCGCACCGGAGCGCGGCGCGGCCACGCCGUUAAACCCCCCCAACUUUCUGAAAGGUUGACCUCGGAUCAGGUAGGAAUACCCGCUGAACUUAAGCAUAUCAAUAAGCGGAGGAAAAGAAACCAACAGGGAUUGCCCCAGUAACGGCGAGUGAAGCGGCAACAGCUCAAAUUUGAAAUCUGGCCCCCCCGGGCCCGAGUUGUAAUUUGUAGAGGAUGCUUUUGGUGCGGCGCCGCCCGAGUUCCCUGGAACGGGACGCCAUAGAGGGUGAGAGCCCCGUCUGGCUGGCCGCC